rnacentral:rRNA from 1 species
UUGAACGCUGGCGGCAGGCCUAACACAUGCAAGUCGCACGGUAACAGGGAUCAGCUUGCUGAUUCGCUGACGAGUGGCGGACGGGUGAGUAAUGUCUGGGAAACUGCCUGAUGGAGGGGGAUAACUACUGGAAACGGUAGCUAAUACCGCAUAACGUCGCAAGACCAAAGAGGGGGACCUUCGGGCCUGUUGCCAUCGGAUGUGCCCAGAUGGGAUUAGCUAGUAGGUGGGGUAACGGCUCACCUAGGCGACGAUCCCUAGCUGGUCUGAGAGGAUGACCAGCCACACUGGAACUGAGACACGGUCCAGACUCCUACGGGAGGCAGCAGUGGGGAAUAUUGCACAAUGGGCGCAAGCCUGAUGCAGCCAUGCCGCGUGUAUGAAGAAGGCCUUCGGGUUGUAAAGUACUUUCAGCGGGGAGGAAGGGAGUAAAGUUAAUACCUUUGCUCAUUGACGUUACCCGCAGAAGAAGCACCGGCUAACUCCGUG